rnacentral:lncRNA from 1 species
CGGGCAUGGUGGCGGGCGCCUGUAUUCCCAGCUACUCGGGAGGCUGAGGCAGGAGAAUGGCAUGAACCCGGGAAGCGGAACUUGCAGUGAGCUGAGAUCACAACACUGUACUCGAGCCUGGGCGACAGAGUGAGACUCUGUCUCAAAAAAAAAAAAAAAAAAAAAAAAACACACACUAAACAAACAAACAUGCCAAAAAAACAAUAAUCUGAGGACGGUGAAAAUGAUACUUUUUUCUUUUUUUGAGAUGGAGUCUUGCACUGUCGCCCAGGCUGGAGUGCAGUGGCGUGAUCGUGGCUCACUGCAAGCUCCGCCUCCUGGGUUCACACCAUUCUCCUGCCUCAGCCUCCCCAGUAGCUGGGACUACAGGCGCCUGCCACCACGCCCGGCUAAUUUUUUGUAUUUUUAGUAGAGACGGGGUUUCACCAUGUUAGCCAGGAUGGUCUCGAUCUCCUGACCUCGUGAUUCGCCCGCCUUGGCCUCCCAAAGUGCUGGGAUUACAGGCAUGAGCCACCGCGCCCGGCCGACGACCAUAUUUCAAAUUUUAACUUCCUCUCGAUCCCCAUCUGUGUUGCUUUUUCUCCAUAGCAUUUAUCAUCAUCACACACUACAUAUUUAUAAGUUCCACGAGGACAGUGAUUUAUUUAUUUGAAAUCAUUUUUUGGUAGAAGCAGAGUUUCGCCAUGUUGCCCAGGCUGGUCUUGAACUCCUGCACUCAAGCAAUCCACCCUCCUUGGCCUCCCAAAGUGCUUGGGAUCACAAGUCUCAGCCAUCGCCCCCGGCCUAGAACAGGGAUUUUGUUCCUUCACUUUUUAUAUUCCCAGCACGGAAGAGUGCUUGGCACCUAGCAGGAGCUCAAUAAACAUCUGCUGAAUGAGUGAACACUACUGCCAAACGGCCUCCCCAAUCACUGGGUUCAGUAUUCCUGCCCUUUCACUCUUGAAUCCUAAUAGCUAUACUUGUUCUACUUUUUCCCCCUUUCUCACUACUGCACUUGACAAGUCUUUAAAAAAAAAAAAAAAAAAGGGCAUGGUGUGGUGGCUCACUCCUGUAAUCCCAGCACUUUGGGAGGCCAAAGUGGACAGAUCACUUGAGGCCAGGAGUUCAAGACCAGCCUGGCCAACAUGGCAAAACCCAGUCUCUGCUAAAAAUACAAAAAAAUUACUUGGGCAUGGAGAUGGAUGCCUGUAAUCCCAGCUACUUGGGAGGCUGAGGCAUGAGAAUUACCUGAGCCUGGGAGGCAGACGUUGCAGCGAGCCGAGAUUGCGCCACUGCACUCCAGCCUGGAUGACAGAGCAAGACUCUGUCUCAAAAAUAAAACAAAACAAAAACAAAGAAAGGAAAGAAAACAAAAAUAGGACGGGUAUAGUGGCUCACAAUUGUAAACCCAGCAUUUUGGUAGGUCUAGGUGGGAGGAUGGCUUGAGGCCAGGAGUUCAGGACUAGCCUAGGCCUAAAAACUAAAAAAGAAGGCCAGGUGCAGGGGUUCAUGCCUAUAAUCCCAACAUUUUGGGAGGCUGAAGCAGGAAGAGUACUUGAGGCCAGGAGUUUGAAACCAGCCUGGGCAACACAGCGACACACCAUCUCUAGACAUAUGCACAAUUAGCUGGGCAUCGAUAUCAUGCCACUGCUCUCCAGCCUGGGAGACACGGUAAGACUCCAUCUAAAAAAAAAAAAAAAAAAAAAAAAAAAUUAGCCAGGCAUGGUGCCAUGAACCUUUAGUCCCAGCUACUCUGGAGGCUAAGGUGGGAGGAUUGUUUGAGCCUGGUUGUAGUGAAGUAUGAUUGGGCCACCGUAGUCCAACCUGGGCAACAGAGCAUGAACCUGAUGAACCUGUUUCCAAAAAAAAAAAAGAAAAAAUAAUCAGUUAAUAUAUAUUGAACACGGCCGGGCACGGUGGCUCAAGCCUAUAAUGCCAGCACUUUGGGAGGCCAAGGCGGGUGGAUCACCCGAGGUUAGCAGUUUGAGACCAGUCUGGCCAACAUGGUGAAACCUCAUCUCUACUAAAAAUACAAAAAAAUUAGCCAGGCAUGGUGGCAGGCACAUGUAAUCCUAGCUACUCGGGAGGCUGAGGCAGGAGAAUCGCUUGAAUUUGGGAGGAGGAGGUUGCAGUGAGCCGAGGUCACAUCAUUGCACUCCAGCGUGGGCAACAAGAGUGAAACUGCGUUUCAAAUUAAAAAAAAAAAGAAAAAAAACCCACACACACAGAGAGAGAAAGAGAAAGAGAGAGAGAGAACACUUAAUAUGUGCUAAGCACAAUUCUAAGAUAUACAUAUUAACUCAUUUAAACCUCAGACACCAAGGUUUAAAUGAAUUAAUAUGUAUAUAUUAGAAUUAAUAUACAUGAGUUAGGUUUACAUUUUUUGUUUUUUUGAGACAGGGUGUCACUCUGUUGCCCAAGCUGGAGUGCAGUGCCGCAAUCUCAGCUCACCGCAAUCUCUGCCUCCCGGGCUCAGGCGAUCCUCCUACCUCAUUUUCCCAAGUAGCUGAGACUACAGGCGAAUCCCCAUUUAAUUUUUGUACUUUCUGUAGAGAAGGGUUUCGCCAUGUUGCCCAGGCUGGGAGUUAGUAUUUUUAAUUUUCAUUUUACAGAUGAGGAAACUGAAGACCAGGGAGGUAAAGUGACCUGACCAAAGGCAUAUAGCUUGUAAGAGGCAGAGUCAGCAGCAUGGCUGCAUAUCUUCCUUACCACUAUGCUACAGUACUGUUUAUCUGAAAGGAAUUGUUUUUUACCCCCAGGUCUGUUUACGUAAGCCAAGGAUCCUGGCCACCAGACAACCGGCAUGGCAUGCCGUCCCCAGUCAAAACAUAAAAAAAACAGGCCGGGCAUGGUGGCUCACACCUGUAAUCCCAACACCACUGCACUCCAGCCUGGGCGACAGAAUGAGACUCUGCCUCAAAAAAUAAAAUAAAAUAAAAUAAAACCCCAUAAUAAACAUUUCCACUUUUUUCAUGAUAAUACAUUCAGAUCAACCAAAAUAUUUUACCCUGUUUCAUUCUUCUUCUGCUUUUUGGUUUAUGCUUUCAGUUUUGUUUUGUUCUUUUUUAAACACACAUACACAAAAUUCUCCUGCAGGAGCUAGAUUUUAUGCAAAAAAAGGAAAAAAAAUGAAAAUAAAAAAACCCAUAUAUACAUAUUUCCCUUUCAUUUACAAAAAGAGCAUACACAGGGCCGGGAGCGGUGACUCACGCCUGUAAUCCCAGCACUUCGGGAGGCGGAGGCAGGUGGAUCACG